UGCCGGGUCGUCUAAUGGUAGGACACGGGGCUCUGGACCCUGGAAUCUAGGUUCGAAUCCUAGCCCGGCAG
rnacentral:tRNA from 1 species